UUAUUUAUAUUUAAUAUAUUUAAUUUUAAAAUUGCAUUUUAAUGUUAUUAUUUAACUAAAAUA
rnacentral:tRNA from 1 species